AUUGACCUACGGGGCGCAGCAGUGAGGAAUAUUGGUCAAUGGGCGCAAGCCUGAACCAGCCACGUCGCGUGAGGGAUGACGGUCCUAUGGAUUGUAAACCUCUUUUGCCGGGGAGCAAAGAGCGGGACGCGUCCCGCCUCGAGAGUACCCGGAGAAAAAGCAUCGGCUAACUCCGUGCCAGCAGCCGCGGUAAUACGGAGGAUGCGAGCGUUAUCCGGAUUUAUUGGGUUUAAAGGGUGCGCAGGCGGAAGCGCAAGUCAGCGGUAAAAUUGAGAGGCUCAACCUCUUCCCGCCGUUGAAACUGC
rnacentral:rRNA from 1 species